rnacentral:lncRNA from 1 species
CUAUAAUUUUUUACCAGAAGGUUCAAUACCGCUAAAGGAAGGUUAAGAUUGAUUUUGAAGGUUAUGGUCCCAAUAGUUUAGGAAUUAAAGGCCAAACAGGGGACCCAAAAUAGCAUUUUUGUAGUUUUCAAACAAUAACUUGUGUUUAAGUGUAUUUGAAAUCUCUUUGAAAUAAUACCUCAAGUUUCCAUAUCAUGAAGGGAUGGUUAGUAUUGACUUUGGGGAUAAUCAUCAACAUUUUUUAGAAUUAGGGGUCAAAGGGCCAAAAAGGGGAAAAACUAGGUUUUUCUGGUCAAUGAACAAUUAAGACAUUUUAAAAG